rnacentral:lncRNA from 1 species
CGCAUGAAAAGCAAGAAAAAAGAAGGGAAGGAGGGGAGAAAAGAAGGAGGGAAGAAAAGAAUACAGAGGAGAGAGGCAGAAUGAGAGGGAGGAAAGAAGAAGGUCCUGUGCCCCGGAGCUCUUCCUCCCUCCCACAGGUUUUUAUCCAAGGUAUAUUACCAUACACUAAGCCUGAACUCUCCAGGGAAAUUAUGUCAAACCAUAACCAAGGAAAUGGGAUUGUAAAAAAUCACCCCAGGAGCCAGCCGUCUGGAAUUCACCUUUAUGAAGCAAGAACGAACAUACCCAAAAGGUGGCGCUGUGACACCAAGGAUUGGGACAGAUCUGUGGUUUUUCUCUGAAGUCUCUGAAAGAAUUAUGUUUAGUAUUUAUGGUGGGGGGGGGCAGAAGUCAACUUUAUUUUUAGAAUUUAUCUGUAUGUACUCAGAGUGGACCUAAAAUUCUCAUAAACUAAU